UACGGAAGGCAGCAGUGGGGAAUAUUGCACAAUGGGCGCAAGCCUGAUGCAGCCAUGCCGCGUGUAUGAAAAAGGCCUUCGGGUUGUAAAGUACUUUCAGUCGUGAGGAAGGUGUUAAGGUUAAUAACCUUAGCAAUUGACGUUAGCGACAGAAGAAGCACCGGCUAACUCCGUGCCAGCAGCCGCGGUAAUACGGAGGGUGCGAGCGUUAAUCGGAAUUACUGGGCGUAAAGGGCACGCAGGCGGUUAAUUAAGUUGAUGUGAAAUCCCCGGGCUUAACCUGGGAAUGGCAUUCAAGACUGGUUAGCUAGAGUCUUGUAGAGGGGGUAGAAUUCCAUGUGUAGCGGUGAAAUGCGUAGAGAUGUGGAGGAAUACCGGUGGCGAAGGCGGCCCCUGGACAAAGACUGACGCUCAUGUGCGAAAGCGUGGGGAGCAAACAGGGAUUAGAUACC
rnacentral:rRNA from 1 species